rnacentral:lncRNA from 1 species
AGUGCUUGGGCUCCAGCGGCCCGCUGCGCACCAACUGAAUCCUGUGCAAACUUUUCCGGAGGAGCUGCGAACCACAACGCCCCUGCCUUCCUAAGCCACUGCCCGCUUUAGGGGACCCGGCCCGUCCAGGCUCCGCUCCUCCCCCGCACGGCUAGCUCGGACGCCCGGAGCGAGCGCGCGGCGGAAAGCGGACGACCCCGGCCCCGGGCCUCCGCUCCCGCGCCCCAACUCACCCUGCCCCAUGGCCCUGCCGGGAGCCCCGAGCUCGCAGCCGCCUCGGCCACCUCGCCCUGCAGAAGUGAGGGUGACGAGGUUUAAGCCCGUCCAGUCUUCCCAGGCAUGCCUCUCUUGAUGUAAACAGCCAACAGCUGGGAUUUGAGGACUGGACGUUCUCAUGAUGACAGUCUAUAAGCUAAAAAAGAACAGCAGAGAUUUAGUGGCCUCCUGGAAGUUUCACAGGAAAAAAGGAAUCUCAGACAGUG